rnacentral:rRNA from 1 species
AACGUAGGACGCAAGCGUUAUCCGGAAUUACUGGGCGUAAAGCGCGUGUAGGUGGUUUUGUAAGUCACUUGUGAAAGCUCUCGGCUAAACUGAGAGAGGUCAGGUGAGACUGCAAGGCUAGAGGGUAGUAGAGGGGUGCGGAAUUCCGGGUGUAGUGGUGAAAUGCGUAGAUAUCCGGAGGAACACCAGAGGCGAAGGCGGCACCCUAGACUAUACCUGACACUGAGACGCGAAAGCAUGGGUAGCGAAC